GAGGUACCUCGUGGAAAACUAGCUUUAUUGUUGAUUUAAAGUUCUAGAGUCAACCGAAUCCAUGACAACUUGUCCCAUGCACUGGCAAAUAGUCAAACACCAAAUCGCCCCACUCGUCUUGUUUACCAACUCGCCCCACUAAUGAAAAAGGGUUGACUACUCGCAACACUUGUAAAAAAUCGAAAAAUCUAGAUGAAAUUGUCGUCCCACUUAUGAAUUAAAUGAAUACUUCUGCAAACCUUAUAAAUGCAUCUUGGGUGUUUUUUUUAAUUCUUUUCUUUUCUUAAUUUUGAUACCAAGACCUUAAAU
rnacentral:lncRNA from 1 species